rnacentral:rRNA from 1 species
AUGCGGUAUGACGGUACCCUUUCGAAUAAGAGGUUGCUAACUCUGUGCCAGCAGCAGCGGUAAUACAGAGACCUCGAGCGUUAUCCGGAUUUACUGGGCGUAAAGCGUCUGUAGGGGGUUUGUUAAGUUCCAAGUAAAAUCUUAAGGCUCAACUUUAAGUUCGCUUGGAAAACUAAUAAACUGGAGUCCAGCAGAGGUGCAUGGAACUUGCGGUGUAGGAGUGAAAUCCGUUGAUAUCGCAAGGAACACCAAAGGCGAAGGCAUUGCACUGGGCUGGUACUGACCCUGAGAGACGAAAGCGUGGGGAGCAAAACGGAUUAGAUACCCGUGUAGUCCACGCCGUAAACGAUGGAUACUAGAUGUUCGGGGAUUCGACCCCCUGGGGUGUCACAGCUAACGCGUUAAGUAUCCCGCCUGGGAAGUACGGCCGCAAGGCUAAAACUCAAAGGAAUAGACGGGGAUCCGCACAAGCGGUGGAGCGUCUGGUUUAAUUUGAUAGUAAGCAAUGGACCUCACCAAGGUUUGACAUCCUAUGACAACCCUGGAAACAGGGCUUCCUUCGGGCAUAGUGACAGGUGCUGCAUGGUCGUCGUCAGUUCGUGCCGUGAGGUGUUCCGUUAAGUCGGGAAACGAACGAAACCCUCGUCGCAUGUUACAAAUUUCAUGCGAGACUGCCCGGGUCAACCGGGAGGAAGNCGGGGAUGCCGUCAGAUCAGCAUGGCCCUUAUACCUUGGGCUACACAGGCGCUACAAUGGCCGGUACAAAGGGUUGCAAAACCGCGAGGUGAAGCUAAUCCCAUAAAGCCGGUCCAAGUUCGGAUUGGAGGCUGCAACUCGCCUCCAUGAAGUUGGAAUCGCUAGUAAUCGUGGAUCAGCCAUACCACGGUGUUACGUUCCCGGAUCUUGUACUCACCGCCCGUCACACCAAGAGAGUUGGUAGCUCCUGAAGC